UGGGGAAUUUUGGACAAUGGGCGAAAAGCCUGAUCCAGCAAUGCCGCGUGUGUGAAGAAGGCCUUCGGGUUGUAAAGCACUUUUGUCCGGAAAGAAAUCCUUGGCUCUAAUACAGUCGGGGGAUGACGGUACCGGAAGAAUAAGCACCGGCUAACUACGUGCCAGCAGCCGCGGUAAUACGUAGGGUGCAAGCGUUAAUCGGAAUUACUGGGCGUAAAGCGUGCGCAGGCGGUUUGCUAAGACCGGAUGUGAAAUCCCCGGGCUCAACCUGGGAACUGCAUUGGUGACUGGCAGGCUAGAGUAUGGCAGAGGGGGGUAGAAUUCCACGUGUAGCAGUGAAAUGCGUAGAGAUGUGGAGGAAUACCGAUGGCGAAGGCAGCCCCCCUGGGGCCAAUACUGACGCUCAUGCACGAAAGCGUGGGGAGCAAAACAGGAUUAGAUACCCCUGGUAGUCCACGCCCCUAAACGAUGUCAACUAGUUGUUGGGGGAUUCAUUUUCCUUAGUAACGUAGCUAACGCGUGAAGUUGACCGCCU
rnacentral:rRNA from 1 species